rnacentral:snRNA from 1 species
GUGCUGACUUCAGCAGCACAUAUACUAAAAUUGGGACGAUACAGAGAAGAUUAACAUGGUCCCUGCUCAAGGAUGACCCGCAAAUUCGUGAAGUGUUCCAUAUUUUU